rnacentral:rRNA from 1 species
GGGAACUCUGACACAGGUGCUGCAUGGCUGUCGUCAGCUCGUGUCGUGAGAUGUUGGGUUAAGUCCCGUAACGAGCGCAACCCUUGUCCUUAGUUACCAGCACGUUAUGGUGGGCACUCUAAGGAGACUGCCGGUGACGAAACCGGAGGAAGGUGGGAUGACGUCAAGUCAUCAUGGCCCUUACGGCCUGGGCUACACACGUGCUACAAUGGUCGGUACAAAGGGUUGCCAAGCCGCGAGGUGGAGCUAAUCCCAUAAACCGAUCGUAGUCCGGAUCGCAGUCUGCAACUCGACUGCGUGAAGUCGGAAUCGCUAGUAAUCGUGAAUCAGAAUGUCACGGUGAAUACGUUCCCGGGCCUU